UACGUAGGGUGCAAGCGUUGUUCGGAAUUACUGGGUGUAAAGGGCGCGUAGGCGGCCUGUUAAGUCGAACGUGAAAUCCCCGGGCUCAACCCGGGAACUGCGUCCGAUACUGGCAGGCUUGAAUCCGGGAGAGGGAUGCGGAAUUCCAGGUGUAGCGGUGAAAUGCGUAGAUAUCUGGAGGAACACCGGUGGCGAAGGCGGCAUCCUGGACCAAUACUGACGCUGAGGAGCGAAAGCCAGGGGAGCAAAACGGGG
rnacentral:rRNA from 1 species